rnacentral:rRNA from 1 species
GACGGAGGAUGCAAGCGUUAUCCGGAAUGAUUGGGCGUAAAGCGUCCGCAGGUGGCAGUUCAAGUCUGCUGUCAAAGACCGGGGCUUAACUUCGGAAAGGCAGUGGAAACUGAACAGCUAGAGUAUGGUAGGGGCAGAGGGAAUUCCUGGUGUAGCGGUGAAAUGCGUAGAGAUCAGGAAGAACAUCGGUGGCGAAAGCGGCUCACUGGACCAUAACUGACGCUGAUGCACGAAAGCUAGGGGAGCAAACAGG